rnacentral:rRNA from 1 species
CAGUCGAGGAUCUUCGGCAAUGAGCGCAAGCUUGACCGAGCGACGCCGCGUGUGCGACGAAGGCCUUCGGGUUGUAAAGCACUGUCGAGGGGGAGAAAAGGGUUAAACUUUGAUCUAUCCCUGGAGGAAGCACGGGCUAAGUUCGUGCCAGCAGCCGCGGUAAGACGAACCGUGCGAACGUUGUUCGGAAUCACUGGGCUUAAAGGGCGCGUAGGCGGGCUACCAAGUCUGUGGUGAAAUCCUCCAGCUCAACUGGAGAACGGCCGCGGAUACUGGUGGUCUCGAGGGGGAUAGGGGCAAGCGGAACUGUGCGUGGAGCGGUGAAAUGCGUUGAUAUGCACAGGAACUCCGGUGGCGAAGGCGGCUUGCUGGAUCUCUUCUGACGCUGAGGCGCGAAAGCUAGGGGAGCGAACGGGAUUAGA